ensembl:lncRNA
GUUAACCACAGGCUGUACAGGAAUAAUGGGCGUGGCUUUCAGGGUUAAACACACUUAAACCUACAUGUUUUUUUCUAAUGAGUCGUCUGUGGUUAACAGCUGUGACCUUUGACCUUGUUAAACACUUUCCUGAUGAGCUGUGCUCUAAACAUUUAGUUUUUAUUUAAAGUUCACUUCUUAGCUUUGAUGGUUCCACUUAAAGUUGGGGAUAAAGAUAUGCUUGUUUUAUAUACACACCUCGAGGUCAAAGGUCAUUAUUGGAGUUUUUUGUCAGUUUAAGAUGAACUGUAAUAUGUCAGCAAAUGAAACCCAAACCUUUCUACAGUUUGUCACAGCACGCUUUGAUCAAACUGUAACACAUGCAUACAUGUGUUGGACACAUGACUGUACCCCACUACAUCUGCAUUUAAAGGGCACACAUAUGUAUACAGUAUAUGUCCUGUGAUACACUGUACACACACGUGCUUCCUGCAAACCACAUGUGCAUCAUCCCACGUAGGACUGAAAGAGAAGGAUGUUGUCAUCACUUCCCGCAGCCCAGAGGCCGCUGCACCAGUGGAGACCGCUCAUCCUGCAGCCACACCUGAAGCUGCUGUGGAGCCUGACCCUGUUCCUGUGGAAGAUGUGAUUGAAGCUGCUGUGGCAGAGGACACAGCUGCAGCCUCACCACCAGAGCCUGAAGCUGAGGCGGCAUCAGAAUCAGCACCUGUGGCUCCUCCUGAGGCCGAUGAGGUGAUUGAGGAGGAGCCAGAGGUGCUGGAGGAGGAGCCUGCUGCAGAAGAGGAGGAUGCUCCUGUUGAGGAAGAGGAGGUUGCUCCAGCUGAAGAAGAGCCAGCUGCAGAGGAGAUGAUGGGAGAUCAACCUGCAGAGGAGGAGGAGGAGGAAACAGAAACAGAGGCUGCGGAGGAGACCACAGAGGAGGCUACAGAGGAGACCGUGGAGGAGGACACGGAGGAGACCGCGGAGGAGGACACGGAGGAGACCGCGGAGGAGGACACAGAGGAGACCGCGGAGGAGGCCACAGAGGAGACCACGGAGGAGGACACGGAGGAGACCGCGGAGGAGGACACGGAGGAGGCUACAGAGGAGACCGUGGAGGAGGCUGUGGAAGAGGCCGAGGAUGAAGCUGCAGCAGAGGUGGAAGAGUCUUUCGCUGGUUCAGUGGAGGACACAGAUGAGGAGGUGGCUCAGGAGACGGCUCCUACAGAGGAAGCUGUUGUGGAGCCACCUGAACAAGAGGAGGCUGCUCCUGCACAGGGAACUGAAGAGGAGGCAGCUCGCUUGGAAGAAGCUUAUGAGGAGAUUGCAGCAGUAGAGGAGGAGGAGGAGGCUGCUCCAUCAGAGGAACCUGCUGAGGAGGAAGAAGCUGCAGAAGAAUCUGAGGCUGCAGCAGAAGAAAUGGGGGCAGCACAUGCAGAAGAAGCUGCUGAGGAAACUCCUGUAGAGGAGCAGGAAGCUCCUUUAGAAGAACCUGUUGAGGAGCAAGCUGAAGUAGAGGAAGCUCCUACAGAAGAGGCACCAGAGGAGACGGCCGAGGAAGAAAUAACUGAGGAGGAGACAGUACCAGUGACAAACACAGAAGAAGAAGCAGCACAUGGUGGUGCAGCAAGGGAUCCUGAGAUGGAGGAACUGUGGAAAGACGAGCCUACAGAAACGUAGGCCACGGAGGUCACCGCUGUGAUGGAGCAGGGACCCACUGACAUUGCAUCAGCACCAUCUGAGCUCAGAUGAUGAUGCCCCUCUCCAGAGAAAUGAUUGAGUUGUCAUGGCAACAAUCGCCCCUCUCCCCCCAUUUUCAUCCCUCCCUUUAAAUUUCCCUUUUAGUGUCAAAGUGUGAGAUGUUCACUAAUAUGCUUCCUUUGCCCUUGUUGUGUUUCCUUUCAGGUUUUGGCUCAUUCUUUUGUUUUCCUGUUUCCUUCAGGGUGUUUUAGCUUCAGUGUGUUUGGGGCACAUGUCCACUCCCUGUGACGUACGAGUGUGUGGUGCACUCGCACAGUCUUGUACCUCUCAGCAAAAAGAGGUCCAAAUCUUCGCUGGAGCUGCACGCUAGCUGCACAUUAAGAAGCUUCACACUUUAAAGUGUUGGAGCAACCAAAUCAAAUCCCCACUCAGAGCAGAAGCUGCUGCUCAGUGUAGAGAGGACUCUAUGCAAAGGUGUGACGCGUGUCACCCACCUCCUUCCUCCUCCUCCUUAGCAUCAGGUGAAUUUACCACUCAGUGUCGACUCCAGGAUGAGCCAUACACUAGCACAUGAACUGUGUGUGUUUGUGAGUAAUGCGUUGUUAUGUGCUGAGAGAUCUUUGCUAAUCCUUCUUGUUGUGUGAGCUGUAGUUUAGUUUCAUUUUGUUAUCUCACUACAUCAGACUGUAUCCUGUAGACUCCGAGCUGGAUCUUCUGUUUGCACAACUGAACUGAAGUUGUGACCUCAGCUUGUUGAACUGUGAGGGCAGCACGGACAGUGACACCCCCCCCCCCCACUUCACGUUUAACAGUGGCUCAUUCCUGUGGAAAUCCAGCCUCUCUGUAGAGGCUUAACGCCACCCUGUCACACACAAACAAUAAUGUCAAAUAAGAGCACUACUAUCUUAUUUUGAAGGCCAGAUGUAGAGCCAAACAUCGUUUCUGUUUGUCCUGUAAACAUAAAUCACCUUGCUUCACUCAAGGAUCAUGAUACAUGAUGACUGGCAGUGAAAAUGCUGUAGGAAUCAGUAAACACUACGUGUGGUCCUCACUUACUGUAACUGUUUGUUAGGGAUGCAACCUCGCUGUGUGAAUAUGUCUGAUUUUUCUUUCUCCUGUAACACUAGCUGAUGUUUUCUGUUUGCUGAAACUUUGUGAGUCAAUGUGAACCGAACCUUUUUAACAUUGAAAAGUAGAAUCUUUACUGAGAGACAACUUCUAGAUUUUUUAAUAGAUUUUUUAAAAAGAAUUUGGAGAGAUGAGAAGAAUUCUUAUUUCCAGAAGAUGCUUGCGGUGCUUUGUACUAAGCCAUAAGCUGUUUGUUGACUUUGUCCUGUGAAGCACAAACAAGAGAAACACUGUUGAGUUUUCAGUACUCGGCUUUGAUCACAGGUCACGUUCAUGUCUCAGAGGGUUGUGGCGCACAGGCAGCUCUGUUUCUAAACAGAGGCCACUUCUGAUGAACACGAUGCAACAAUGUAUCAGUGAUGACAGAGGGAGGGGGGGCGUGGCCAUCUUCAUCAAUGACAUGCUGUCUUUGAGUCAUAACCCUCAGAUUAUGGUUGAGUGUGCAGGUGUGACACUGUGCUGACUAAAUGAUCAUGAAGUACUGACAGAGAUUUGAAGUGGGAAGUUUUUCUGUUCUGGGAGCUAUAAUAAAAGAUUUGGGACAACACAGCAGUGCCUGUUUUUUUUAGUUGUUGUUGUUUACCUGUUGUUUACCUGUGUGGAGCCUCGUCACAACACAAGACUAACUUCAUCCCAGACAUUAAUUAGUAUUCCUAAUCGAUGCUGUGAUGGUACAGAAAAUCCUCCAACGUGACGUCGAGCUGCA